AGCUUGUUCAAUCUGGGAAGAGAUUUCGUCAUGCGCCAACCUUCAAGGUCUGAUGAAACUUUCAAGAUGAGCAAAGCG
rfam:Schistosoma rodhaini strain Burundi genome assembly, scaffold: SROB_scaffold0005539